rnacentral:rRNA from 1 species
GACGAACGCUGGCGGCGUGCUUAACGCAUGCAAGUCGAACGCUGAAGCUCAGCUUGCUGGGUGGAUGAGUGGCGAACGGGUGAGUAACACGUGAGUAACCUGCCCUCUUCUUUGGGAUAACGCCCGGAAACGGGUGCUAAUACUGGAUAUUCACUGAUUCUCGCAUGGGGGUUGGUGGAAAGGUUUUUUCUGGUGGGGGAUGGGCUCGCGGCCUAUCAGCUUGUUGGUGGGGUGAUGGCCUACCAAGGCUUUGACGGGUAGCCGGCCUGAGAGGGUGACCGGUCACAUUGGGACUGAGAUACGGCCCAGACUCCUACGGGAGGCAGCAGUGGGGAAUAUUGCACAAUGGGCGAAAGCCUGAUGCAGCGACGCCGCGUGAGGGAUGGAGGCCUUCGGGGUGUAAACCUCUUUCGCUCAUGGUCAAGCCGCAGCGUUGGGUUGUGGUGAGGGUAGUGGGUAAAGAAGCGCCGGCUAACUACGUG